ensembl:lncRNA
AUGUUCUUGUGUCAGUUUGCUAAGAAUGAUGUUCUCCAGAUUCAUCCAUGUCCCUACAAAGAGAUCAUUAGAGCGACUGUGCUGCCCAUAACAACAAGGGCCAUUGGUGAAAACAAGCUGCUCAGGGAGGGGGAUCACGGAAAUCACAGAAAUGGGAUUUCUCUGUUUUCAUCCCCCGAGAUCAUCAGUGACCCUGCUCCUGACAUCGGAUCACCUCUCAGCCAACAUCUGAGUCUACGGUGUCCUUUCCUAGAGUCAGAGUUCACUCGUGAUUAUUUCAAUGUGUUGGGAAGUUAGUCAUUUUUACUUUUUUUUUUUUUUUUUUUUGAGGCGGAGUUUCGCUGUUGUUACCCAGACUGGAGUGCAAUGGCACGAUCUCGGCUCACCGCAACCUCCGCCUCCUGGGUUCAAGGACCUCAGCCUCCCCAGUAGCUGGGACUACAGGCGCGCACCACCAUGCCCAGCUAAUUUUUGUACUUUUUUUUAGUAGAGACGGGGUUUCACCAUGUUGACCAGGAUGGUCAUGAUCUCUUGACCUCGUGAUCCAUCCGCCUUAGCCUCCCAAAGUGCUGGGAUUAUAGGCGUGAGCCACCGCGCCCGGCUAGUCUUUUUUACUUUUUAAGAGAUGUUAUCACCAGGUGUGGUGGCUCAAACCUAUAAUCCCAGCACUUUGGGAGGCUGAGGUGGGAGGAUCACCUGAGGUCAUGAGUUUGAGACAAGCUUGGCCAACAUGGCAAAACCUUGUCUCUACUAAAAAUACAAAAAUUAGCUAGGUGUGGUGGCAGGGGACUGUAAUCCCAGCUACUCAGGAGGCUGAGGCAGGAGAAUUGCUUGAACCUGGGAAGCAGAGGUUGCAGUGAGCCGAGAUUGUGCCAUUGCACCCCAGCCUAAGUUAAAGAGCAAAAUUCCAUCUCAAAAAAAAAAAGAAAAAAGAAAGAGAGAUGGGGUCUUGCCAUGCUGUCCAGGCUGGCCUCAAACUCUUGAGCUCAGUAAUCUUUCCCACCUCGGCCUCUCGAAGUGCUGGGAUCACAGGUGUGAACCACCACACCUGGCUGAGGAAGUUAGUCUUCAUAAUGGGACUAAACCUGCUUUCCUAUAUUUUUCAUCUUUUCAUGUGUUUAUUGGAUAUUUGAAUUUCAUUCAUGAAAAAAAUGGUAUCUUUUUGUUUUCUGCUGUUUUUUUUAUUAGAGAUGAGGUCUCACUUUGUUGGCCAGGGCUGCUCUUAAAAUCCUGAUCUCAAGUGAUCCUCCCACCUUGGCCUCCCAAAGUGCUGGGAUUACAGGCAUGAGACAAGGCGCCCGACCCUAAUUUUUGUAUUUUUAGUAUAGACGAAGUUUCACCAUGUUAGCUAGGCUGGUCUGGACUCCUGACCUCAGGUGAUCCACCUGCUCUCGGCCUCCCAACGUGCUGGGAUUAUAGAUGUGCGCCACCAUGCCCAGCCAGUCUUUCUUGUUUUGUUAUCUGUGCAUCUGUGGGUAUGCAUUUUCCCAAGUACCACUUUGGCCACAUUUUCCAGAUUUUGACAUGCAGCUCUCUAAUUAUUUUUAUUUAUAGGUUGUAAUUUGUUGUGUUUCUUUCUUUCUUUUUUUUUUUUUUUUUUUUUUUUUCCCGGGCUGGAAUGCAGUAGAGUAAUCUUGGCUCUCUGCAACCUCCAACUCCCAGGUUCGAGCUAUUCUCCCGCCUCAGCCUCCCAAGUAGCUGGGACUACUGGCACCUGCCACCACACAAAAUAUUUUUUUAUAUUUUCAUAGAGACAGAGUUUCACUCUGUUGGCCAGGCUGGUCUCAGACACCUGACCCUGUGAUCCACCUGCCUCGGCCUCCCAAAGUGCUGGAAUUACAGGUGUGAGCCACGGCACCCAGCCCUUUUUUGGCUUUUUCUUAUAAAUUCUAUUUCAUCGUGAUCAGAGAAUUCACAUGUAUGUGUACACCUGCAUGUAUGUACACUUGUAUGACUUUUCACUCUUCUGUAACCUUAAUCCACCUGUCUCAGGUCUAUUCUCUGACCCCCUCAAAGAAAGCUUAGUUCCUUUUUCACAGGAUGUGCCAUUAAAUAUUUCAUAGCAGGCCGGGCACAGUGGCUCACACCUGUAAUCUCAGCCUUCUGGGAGGCCAAGGUGGGCAGACCACAUGAGGUCAGGAGUUCAAGACCAGCCUGGUCAACAUGGUGAAACCUCACCUCCACCAAAAAAUACAAAAAUUAGCCAGGCCUGGUGGUACACACUGUAAUCCCAGCUGCUCAGGAGGCUGAGGCAGGAGAAUCAGUUGAACCCAAGAGGUGGAAGUUGCAGUGAGCCAAGAUUGCAUCAUUGCACUCCAGCCCAGGCAGCAGAACGAGACUCCAUCUCAAAAAAAAAAAAAAGGCCGGGCGCGGUGGCUCACGCCUAUAAUCCCAGCAAGUUGGGAGGCUGAGGCGGGUGGAUCAUGACGUCAAGAGAUUGAGACCAUCCUGGUCAACAAUGUGAAA